rnacentral:lncRNA from 1 species
AGAUUUUUUGUAGUGCUUGCGUGCUCUGUUUGUAAAGAAGUGUGGGAAUCUUGCAGAUCUCUUAGAUUUUCCGUAGCUCUUGAGUGUUCUGUCUGUAAAGUACUAUGGGAAUCUUGCAGAUCUCUUAGAUUUUCCGUAGCUCUUGAGUGUUCUGUCUGUAAAGUACUAAGGGAAUCUUGCAGAUCUCUUAGAUUUUCUGUAGCUCUUGAGUGUUCUGUCUGUAAAGUAUUAUGGGAAUCUUGCAGAUCUCUAAGAUUUUCCCUGAUGGUUGAGUUUUCAAUGUCCAUUGUUCGUCUCAGUUCCUUCAUCUCUUCCUGUGAUUGUUUUAUUUCCAGCAUAAUUUCCUGGUUUGACUGAUCUAAGAUUUUUACCUUUAGAUCUUGGCACUCCUGAUUCAUUGGCACACCACCCAAUCGACUAACAGC